GCAAGAGAUUAGAAAACCAUUUAUUAACAAUGAGUCACAGUACAAGUACAAUAUUGCAUCUAUAAAAUUUCUCCAAUAACCCUUAAAAGGGAGUUACCAAUCUUUAGAUGUUGAUAACCUGAUAGGACAUCAAUAUCUAAAAAGGGCAGGGAAACGCCUUUAAAAUAAAAUAAAAAAAAAAAAAAAAAAAAAAAAAAAAAAAAAAAAAAUAUCAACUUUGUCUACUUAUAGGCUCGCUAUACUUUUUACAAACUGAAACAUUACAUAAAAAAAAUAUAUACAGUUAAAUUCACAGGAAACAUUGUAAAAUCUUAAGAAUAAUGACACGUAAAUAUAAAAAUAUGCAGCAAAGUGUUUUAUUUUUUGUAGUUUACAUAUAUUGAUUUAAAACUACUUGAAAAA